rnacentral:rRNA from 1 species
AUUGAACGCUGGCGGCAGGCCUAACACAUGCAAGUCGAGCGAGCGGCGGACGGGUGAGUAAUGUCUGGGGAUCUGCCCGAUAGAGGGGGAUAACUACUGGAAACGGUGGCUAAUACCGCAUACUAUCGGAUGAACCCCUAUGGGAUUAGCUAGUAGGUGGGGUAACGGCUCACCUAGGCGACGAUCGCUAGCUGGUCUGAGAGGAUGACCAGCCACACUGGGACGGAGACACGGCCCAGACGCCGACGGGAGGCAGCAGUGGGGAAUAUUGAACAAUGGGCGCAAGCCUGAUGCAGCCAUGCCGCGUGUGUGAAGAAGGCCUUAGGGUUGUAAAGUACUGUCAGCGGGGAGGCGUUACCCGCAGAAGAAGCACCGGCUAACUCCGUGCCAGCAGCCGCGGUAAUUC